rnacentral:rRNA from 1 species
UAGGGAAUCUUCGGCAAUGGACGGAAGUCUGACCGAGCAACGCCGCGUGAGUGAAGAAGGUUUUCGGAUCGUAAAACUCUGUUGGUAGAGAAGAACGUUGGUGAGAGUGGAAAGCUCAUCAAGUGACGGUAACUACCCAGAAAGGGACGGCUAACUACGUACCAG